GACGAACCGAGCGAACGUUGUUCGGAAUCACUGGGCUUAAAGGGCGCGUAGGCGGGUUCGAUAGUACGCGGUGAAAUCCUCCAGCUCAACUGGAGAAAUGCCGCGGAUACUACGAGUCUCGAGGGAGGUAGGGGCGUGCGGAACAGAUGGUGGAGCGGUGAAAUGCGUAGAUAUCUACUGGAACGCCGAUGGUGAAGACGCUCGGCUGGGCCUGUCCUGACGCUGAGGCACGAAAGCGUGGGGAGCAAACAGG
rnacentral:rRNA from 1 species